rnacentral:rRNA from 1 species
GGCGACGAUCGGUAGCCGGACUGAGAGGUUGAACGGCCACAUUGGGACUGAGACACGGCCCAGACUCCUACGGGAGGCAGCAGUGGGGAAUAUUGCACAAUGGGGGAAACCCUGAUGCAGCGACGCCGCGUGGAGGAAGAAGGUCUUCGGAUUGUAAACUCCUGUUGUUGGGGAAGAUAAUGACGGUACCCAACAAGGAAGUGACGGCUAACUACGUGCCAGCAGCCGCGGUAAAACGUAGGUCACAAGCGUUGUCCGGAAUUACUGGGUGUAAAGGGAGCGCAGGCGGGAAGACAAGUUGGAAGUGAAAUCUAUGGGCUCAACCCAUAAACUGCUUUCAAAACUGUUUUUCUUGAGUAGUGCAGAGGUAGGCGGAAUUCCCGGUGUAGCGGUGGAAUGCGUAGAUAUCGGGAGGAACACCAGUGGCGAAGGCGGCCUACUGGGCACCAACUGACGCUGAGGCUCGAAAGUGUGGGUAGCAAACAGGAUUAGAUACCCUGGUAGUCCACACCGUAAACGAUGAUUACUAGGUGUUGGAGGAUUGACCCCUUCAGUGCCGCAGUUAACACAAUAAGUAAUCCACCUGGGGAGUACGACCGCAAGGUUGAAACUCAAAGGAAUUGACGGGGGCCCGCACAAGCAGUGGAGUAUGUGGUUUAAUUCGACGCAACGCGAAGAACCUUACCAAGUCUUGACAUCCCUUGACAGACAUAGAAAUAUGUAUUCUCUUCGGAGCAAGGAGACAGGUGGUGCAUGGUUGUCGUCAGCUCGUGUCGUGAGAUGUUGGGUUAAGUCCCGCAACGAGCGCAACCCUUAUGGUCAGUUACUACGCAAGAGGACUCUGGCCAGACUGCCGUUGACAAAACGGAGGAAGGUGGGGAUGACGUCAAAUCAUCAUGCCCUUUAUGACUUGGGCUACACACGUACUACAAUGGCGUUAAACAAAGAGAAGCAAGACCGCGAGGUGGAGCAAAACUCAGAAACAACGUCCCAGUUCGGACUGCAGGCUGCAACUCGCCUGCACGAAGUCGGAAUUGCUAGUAAUCGUGGAUCAGCAUGCCACGGUGAAUACGUUCCCGGGCCUUGUACACACCGCCCGUCACACCAUGAGAGCCGGGGGGACCCGAAGUCGGUAGUCUAACCGCAAGGAGGACGCCGCCGAAGGUAAAACUGGUGAUUGGGGUGAAGUCGUAACAAGGU